rnacentral:rRNA from 1 species
UUAACGGCACUGCCGAGAAAGAACAGAGACAGAGAGAGUCUACGAAGUAGACUAAGGGUCGGGCCUCGCACGCCACCGGCAACUUGCCGGCUAGCGGUUCAAUGACGGUUGGCUACCACCAGAACCGCGCGGCGUGACGGGCGCUCGAACCCAUGAUGAGCUUGAACGAAAUGAUGAGGGGCGAGCCUCGCACGCCACCGGCAACUUGCCGGCUAGCGGUUCAAUGACGGUUGGCUACCAGCAGAAUCGCGCGGCGUGACGGGCGCUUUGGCCCCUCAGCUUGAACGAUGUGAGAAGCCUUUGAACGACCUGACGCGCACGAGUCCCUGCGCUUCGCGGGCUGCGUCCUGGUGUGACCUUCCUGGUGAAGGCGCGCCGGCGGCGCUGCACGUGGAUAAAAGGGACCUGACCUGUCCGAUGAUUAUGCCAUUCGGCAAACAAACUCACAACCCUGAACGGUGGAUCACUCGGCUCGUGGGUCGAUGAAGAACGCAGCAAAUUGCGCGUCGACAUGUGAACUGCAGGACACAUGAACAUCGACGUUUCGAACGCACAUUGCGGUCCUUGGAUUUCCAAUCCCGGACCACGCCUGGCUGAGGGUCGGCCUACUGAAACCACUGGGCCCGCCGCGUGUGAUGCGCGGCGGGCCCGAAGUUGAGGGCACGCGCGCGCGCAUGUCGCCGCACGACGCUCUUUAAGAACGAGACCGCGCCGCCGCGGACAGACGCGCCCUCCGGCGCCCGGCUUGAUACAGGGAGAAAUCCCGAACACUUGAACGACAGCCGGGCACAAAAAUUGCAGAUCUCUGCAGACGAGGGCAAGGGCGACUGCUCCGCGCGCGGUGGCGUCAGAAAACAAACUUUCCGACCUCAGAUCAGGCGAGACUACCCGCUGAAUUUAGCAUAUUACU